UACGUAGGGUGCGAGCGUUAAUCGGAAUUACUGGGCGUAAAGCGUGCGCAGGCGGUUUGUUAAGACAGAUGUGAAAAUCCCCGGGCUUAACCUGGGAACUGCAUUUGUGACUGGCAAGCUAGAGUAUGGCAGAGGGGGGUAGAAUUCCACGGUGUAGCAGUGAAAUGCGUAGAGAUGUGGAGGAAUACCGAUGGCGAAGGCAGCCCCCCUGGGCCAAUACUGACGCUCAUGCACGAAAGCGUGGGGAGCAAACAGG
rnacentral:rRNA from 1 species